UUGUUAUCUAGAGAAGUGUUAUCUGCGCUGGACCGUGUACAAGUCUCCUGGAAUGGAGCGUCAUAGAGGGUGAGAAUCCCGUCUCUGACACGGACUGCCAGGGCUUUGUGAUGCGCUCUCAAAGAGUCGAGUUGUUUGGGAAUGCAGCUCAAAAUGGGUGGUAAAUUCCAUCUAAAGCUAAAUAUUGGCGAGAGACCGAUAGCGAACAAGUACCGUGAGGGAAAGAUGAAAAGAACUUUGGAAAGAGAGUUAAACAGUACGUGAAAUUGCUGAAAGGGAAACGCUUGAAGUCAGUCGCGUUGUCCAGGGAUCAACCUUGCUUUUGCUUGGUGUACUUUCUGGUUAACGGGUCAGCAUCAAUUUUGAUCAUUGGAAAAAGGUUAGGGGAAUGUGGCAUCUUUACAGAUGUGUUAUAGCCCUUGAUUGCAUACAAUGGUUGGGAUUGAGGAACUCAGCACGCCGCAAGGCCAGGUUUUUAACCAUGUACGUGCUUAGGAUGCUGGCAUAAUGGCUUUAAUCGACCCGUCUUGAAACACGGACCAAGGAGUCUAACAUGCCUGCGAGUGUUUGGGUGGAAAACUCGAGCGCGUAAUGAAAGUGAAAGUUGAGAUCCCUGUCGUGGGGAGCAUCGACGCCCGGACCAGACCUUUUGUGACGGUUCCGCGGUAGAGCAUGUAUGUUGGGACCCGAAAGAUGGUGAACUAU
rnacentral:rRNA from 1 species